rnacentral:rRNA from 1 species
AAUGAACGUUGGCGGCGUGCUUAACACAUGCAAGUCGAGCGAGAAAGCUCCUUCGGGAGCUAGUAUAGCGGCGGACGGGUGAGGAACGCGUAAGAAUCUACCCUUCAGUGAAGAAUACCCUUGAGAAAUCGAGGAUAAUACUGCAUAUUCCCUACGGGGCAAAGGUGGCUUUAUGCUGCCGCUGAAGGAUGAGCUUGCGUACUAUUAGCUAGUUGGUGAGGUAAAGGCUCACCAAGGCGAUGAUGGUUAGCCGGCCUGAGAGGGUGUACGGCCAAAUUGGGACUGAGAUACGGCCCAGACUCCUACGGGAGGCAGCAGUGGGGAAUAUUGGACAAUGGGGGGAACCCUGAUCUAGCCAUGCCGCGUGUGUGAAGAAGGCCUUAUGGUUGUAAAGCACUUUAAGCGAGGAGGAGGCUACUCUAGUUAAUACCUAGGGAUAGUGGACGUUACUCGCAGAAUAAGCACCGGCUAACUCUGUGCCAGCCGCCGCCGUAA